GACGAACGCUGGCGGCGUGCCUAAUACAUGCAAGUCGAACGCAGUGGGGACGGGUGAGUAACAAGUGGGUAACCUCCCAUCAGACGGGAUAACACUUGGAAACAGGUGCUAAACCGAUACUGAUGGAUGGACCCGCGGUGCUUUAGCUAGUUGGUGAGGUAACGGCUAACCAAGGCCACGAUGCAUAGCCGGCCUGAGAGGUUGAUCGGCCACACUGGGACUGAGACACGGCCCAGACUCCUACGGGAGGCAGCAGUAGGGAAUCUUCGGCAAUGGACGAAAGUCUGAUCGAGCAACGCCGCGUGAGUGAAGAAGGUUUUCGGAUCGUAAAACUCUGUUGGUAGAGAAGCGGUAUCUAACCAGAAAGCCACGGCUAACUACGUGCCAGCAGCCGCGGUAAUUC
rnacentral:rRNA from 1 species